CCAACAAAAAAAAAGCUUGUUUUCUCAGCCGAUUCUGACAGCCACUCUGGUUUCUUGAUUCAGGUUUCUGUGGGCAUUGCACCUGACAUCCUCAAUGGUGUUUCCAGGAAGCAGAGAAGUAGAAAGCGGAUGAGGAGGAGCAUAAGAAGAAGGUAGAAGCAACAAAAUUUUCCGGGAAACACCAUCGAGGAUGACUAGAUAGCAUCCAGGCUCGCUGCUGCCGUCAAAAAAGAGGAUGGAGGACGCAAUCGAGCAUGAUGGCAACCAGUUAGCCGAGGCGGAUGAGUUUGAGGCCACCACGAAGCACCUGACAGCAUCUGCAAUCCUAUCAUUGCUAAGAGGCACCAGGGGAGGUAGUACUCCCGACAUGGCUGGUGGAUGGAUGAUGAUGUUCCUUCGGAGGAUGGCAGAGGUGCAAGGCUGAAGAUCGAGGAUGGCAGUCUACCUUCUAGUAUUCUUGGUAAGAUAGUCAAGCAGUUCCUUAGCUGUGUGUCGGAAAGUUACACAUCCAGGUCCAGUAAGGGAACCGCUCGGCUGCUGAGGGCCGUUGUCUUCUUGUAUAAGAAGCACUGCUCAUGCAGCAACAUUCUUGUCUGAAUCGCUUCCAUGAAUACGUUGUUUGACAGGAAUUCCCUGUUUGGGUUGGUGGUCAAGAUGUCGAUUAAAGUUGUUAAAGCUGAUGCAACAGAGCAACUCGAUCGAGUACCUCGAGAUUCCCCGCUCAUGAUCGUUGUUUUGGGACAGCCAUGGGCCAUUGGAGCAAGGUUUUGUCCAUGGAUGGCAAUGAAGUUUCUUCUUUAUCACGUCAUGUCAAUCUGACAUAUUCUUUCUGCGAUGAGUGGUAUGAAUCAGUGGUUGAUUCUUUCUUUCGACCAUCCUAUUUUUUUUCAGAGACCAACAAAACAUGUCAAAUCGUGCAAUAAGUUUUCCACUCCAGCAGGUGAAUAAGCGAUGGGAAAAUGGUUAUUUGCAUUGUAACAUCCACGUACUUUACAGGAACCGAGACGUCUGGAAAUGUAUGCUUCAGUUGUAUCUGCUUGACAUUUGACGAAAUGGUCACGUACCCAUCGAGGUAUCCAAGUUCCCCUUGUUUUCUCUCUCUCAUUUCCUACCUUUGUCGUCGUUUACAGUCGACGCAGAAGCUCUAAUAUCCUGUUACGGUUCUCAU